UGAGGAAUAUUGCACAAUGGGCGCAAGCCUGAUGCAGCAACGCCGCGUGCGGGACGAAGGCCUUCGGGUCGUAAACCGCUUUUCUGGGGGAAGAGCAAGGACGGUACCUCAGGAAUAAGUCUCGGCUAACUACGUGCCAGCAGCCUCGGUAAAACGUAGGAGGCGAGCGUUAUCCGGAUUUACUGGGCGUAAAGCGCACGCAGGCGGCUCUGUUAGUCGGACGUGAAAGCUCUCGGCUUAACCGGGAGAGGCCGUUCGAUACUGCGGGGCUUGAGGUAGGGAGAGGAAUGCGGAAUUCCCGGUGUAGUGGUGGAAUGCGUAGAUAUCGGGAGGAACACCUGUGGCGAAAGCGGCAUUCUGGCCCUCACCUGACGCUGAGGUGCGAAAGCGUGGGUAGCAAACA
rnacentral:rRNA from 1 species